rnacentral:lncRNA from 1 species
GUUUUUCUCUUCUCCUAACUCACCCAGAGCCAGGUAUCAGGCGACAAGCCACCACUUGUGUAUCCAAACCCGCUGAACUGUUCCAGUUUGCCAUUGUUUGCCUGCCCAAGUUUUCCUCUCCCUUAGAAAUGGGCAGCAAAGGCCCCACCUCAGACUUUCCUCCACAUUCUGCGUCUUUGUUUUAAGAGCUUGGGCUACUCUGCAACUUUCCACGUAGCCUACUGACCUUGAACUUGUGAUUCUCCUGCGUCAGGCUCCUGAGUGCUGAGAUUGCACGUGCACAUCUACACACUGAGCCUCCUCCCAUCAACCUGUGUUCUACUGCAUCAGACAGACUUGGUGCUCACCCUUGGCCCUGCCUAGCCAUGGGGCACCCCCUUCUCUGGGGUCCCCAUCAUGCUGUACCUGGUGGCUCUCUUUCCUUAUGCUCUCCUGCUUCAGGCCCCAUCGUGGGAGCCUCUGCUCGUGAGCCUGUAGCUCUCCCUAAUAAAGCUCUAUGAAGGGUGA